GAUAAGGUAAUACCGGUACGAUAAGGUAAUACCGGUAUGAUAAGUGGUACUGUCUUGUGAAUGUCGGUAGAUGAACUCAACGGUGUGUCUGUGUGUAGAUGUAUUCCAUCCGCAGCCUGCCCAGCAUGGUGUACCGGGAGCAGCCAGAGGAAGACGGAGUAGAGGACAUGACGCAGCUGGAGGAGCUGUCUGAGGGAUCUGUGCUGCUCAACCUGAAGAAGAGGUUUGAGAGAGAGAUCAUCUAUACAUAUAUAGGUAGUAUCCUGG